rnacentral:rRNA from 1 species
UACAGAGGGGGCAAGCGUUGUUCGGAAUUACUGGGCGUAAAGGGCGCGUAGGCGGCCUUCUAAGUCGAACGUGAAAUCCCCGGGCUCAACCCGGGAACUGCGUCCGAUACUGGAAGGCUUGAAUCCGGGAGAGGGAUGUGGAAUUCCAGGUGUAGCGGUGAAAUGCGUAGAUAUCUGGAGGAACACCGGUGGCGAAGGCGACAUCCUGGACCGGUAUUGACGCUGAGGCGCGAAAGCAUGGGGAGCGAACGGG